rnacentral:rRNA from 1 species
CCUACGGGAGGCAGCAGUGAGGAAUAUUGGUCAAUGGGCGUGAGCCUGAACCAGCCAAGUAGCGUGAAGGAUGAAUGUCCUACGGGUCGUAAACCUCUUUUAUAAAGGAAUAAAGUGAGGCACGUGUGCCUUUUUGUAUGUACUUUAUGAAUAAGGAUCGGCUAACUCCGUGCCAGCAGCCGCGGUAAUACGGAGGAUCCGAGCGUUAUCCGGAUUUAUUGGGUUUAAAGGGAGCGUAGAUGGGUUUUUAAGUCAGUUGUGAAAGUUUGCGGCUCAACCGUAAAAUUGCAAUUGAUACUGGCAGUCUUGAGUACAGUUGAGGUAGGCGGAAUUCGUGGUGUAGCGGUGAAAUGCUUAGAUAUCACGAAGAACUCCGAUUGCGAAGGCAGCUUACUAAGCUGCCACUGACAUUGAUGCACGAAAGUGUGGGUAUCAAACAGGAUUAGAUACCCCAGUAGUC